rnacentral:tRNA from 1 species
UGGCUCAGUUGGUACAGUAGAGCAUGGCGCUUGCAAUGUCAGGGUUGUGGGUUUGAUUCCCAC